GGUGAGAGCUGAAGUAGGUCUCGGUCCCUGGCCGCCAGGAGGUGCAAGCAGGCUACCACUACUGCAGACGCUCCAGGCCCGCCCGCUGUGGGUGGGACUGGGGAGAGGACCCCAUCUCGGCCUUGGCACCUUCUACUACAACGCAGACAGGAAUAGACAACUGCCUCACCCUGCUCUGGGCCUCCCCUGAGCUAGACCCUGUGAGAUUCUGGGACAUUGCAAGUCAAUCUGGUAUGGGGGACAGAAUUCUGAAAAUGGCCCCCUCCGAGAUUCCGUGCCCAAAUCCCCAGAACCUGUAAAUAUGAUUAUCUCACCUAUGAAUAGUUACACUACAUGGUGAAAGGGUUUCUGCAGACAUAAUUAAGGUUACUCAUUAGCUGAUCUUAAAAUAGGAUAUGAUUCUGGAUUAUUUUGGUAGGUCCAAGGUAUCAUAAGGGUCCUUAAAGGGAGAAGAGGAAGGUGGAGAAACUUGAAGUAGGAGAAGGGUUCCAGAAGCUUUGAAGGUAGAGAGGUCCAUGAGAGGAAAUGCAACAGGACAGGUGUCAUGCUGAGAAUCUGAGAAGAGCUGCAACAACAGCCAGCAAGAAAACAGACCUCAUGGCCCGGCGCAGUGGCUCAUGCCUGUAAUCCCAGCACUUUGGGAGGCCAAGGCGGGUGGAUCACGAGGUCAGGAGAUCGAGACCAUCCUGACUAACACAGUGAAACCCCAUCUCUACUAAAAAUACAGAAAAUUAGCUGGGCGUGGUGGCAGGCGCCUGUAGUCCCAGCUACUCGGGAGGCUGAGGCAGGAGACUGGCAUGAACCCGGGAGGCGGAGCUUGAAGUGAGCUGAGAUCGCGCCACUGCACUCCAGCCUGGGCGACAGAACGAGACUCCGUCUCAAAAAAAAAAAAAAAAGGCCGGGCGCGGUGGCUCACGCCUGUAAUCCCAGCACUUUGGGAGGCCGAGGCGGGCGGAUCACGAGGUCAGGAGAUCGAGACCAUCCUGGCUAACACGGUGAAACCCCGUCUCUACUAAAAAUACAAAAAAAAAUUAGCCGAGCGCGGUGGCGGGCGCCUGUAGUCCCAGCUACUCAGGAGGCUGAGGCAGGAGAAUGGCGUGAACCCGGGAGGCGGAGCUUGCAGUGAGCCAAGAUAGCACCACUGCAGUCGGACCUGGGGGAAAGAGCAACACUCAGUCUCAAAAAAAAAAAAAAAGAAAGAAAAGAAAACAGACCUUAGCCCUAGAAGUGCGUGGAGCUAGAUUCUGCCCACAACCUGAAUGAGCUUGGAAGCAAAUUCUUCCCCAGAGCCUCCAGAUAGCAGCUUAGUCCAUACCACACCUUGAUUUUAGCCUUUAUGAGACCCACGGAAGACCUACUUGGGCUUCUGACCUAUGGAAUGCUUUUACCAGGCCCCUUCGUGAUCUCAUUCCUCAGGGAGCAGUUCUCACUUCCUCUAUCCCAGAGGACAGAGGGACUCGGCAGUGAAAGAGGGAACCAACUGUCCAAACGCAUGACUAGAACAAAGCCUCCAGACGACAGACAAGGCCCCAUUUCCAAAUAUCAUCACAAUGAAGAUUAGGGCUUCAACAUACGAAUUUUAGAGGACACAAUUCAGUCCAUAGCAACGAUGCAUAGAAGACAAGGCAAUAUGAAGUGAGAACAGAGGUAUUUGAAGCUGUCAGCCUUCAAGAUUGGAGUGAUGCAGUGACAAGCCCAGGCCACCAGAAACUGGAAGAAGCAAGGAAGGAUCCUCUCCUGGCCUUCAGAACUUUGACAGAAUAAAGUUUUUUUUUUUAAGCUGCCAUGUUUGUGGUAAUAUGC